GACGAGCCACACAAACGUUAUUCGGAAUUACUGGGCUUAAAGGGUGCGUAGGCGGCACGGUAAGUGGGGUGUGAAAUCCCUCAGCUCAACUGAGGAACUGCGCUCCAAACUACCGUGCUUGAGUGAGACAGAGGUUAGCGGAACUUCGGGUGGAGCGGUGAAAUGCGUUGAUAUCCGAAGGAACACCGGUGGCGAAAGCGGCUAACUGGGUCUCAACUGACGCUGAUGCACGAAAGCUAGGGUAGCAAACGGG
rnacentral:rRNA from 1 species